GUCAAGGCAUAGGCCAAUAAUCUGGGACAUUUCUAACUAUUAUUAAAAGCUAACUAAGCAGAAACAGCUCAAAGCAAAACGUGAACUGAAAGUAAAAAUGCUUGCUUAUGCAUAAGCCAAGAUACAUUCUUCUUAUCUAAUUGUAGCUACGUAAUAUUUUGUUUCUUUGAAUAAUAAUUCCUGUUUUGUAACCACAAAGUAUUGUGAGCCUGUCAAAAUGAAAAGUAUAUAUGAUUAACUUCACAAGUAAAGAUUGGG
rnacentral:lncRNA from 1 species